AACACAUUACUGCCAUUAGAACGAAGGGUGGAUUGCUCAUAGUUUGGGAAUUGUUCCUCACCUUCAGUCUGAAAUUACGCUACAAAAUUGUUAAAUAUGUCAUUUUUUUAAUAAAAUAUGAAUUGAUCUGAGAAGUUUAGUGACAGAUAUACCGGUCAAUCUUGACCAUUGCCAUGACAAAGCAAAGAUAAUUCUUUCUCACAGAUACAAACGGAAGUAAUUACAAACAUGAAAUAAAAGAGAACCAGCAGUAGCUCAAAGAACAAUAACAGCACAGACAUGUGAACAACCUACAGGCAACACAUCCCAAACAGAGGCCAACGCCACACCUUCGGCACGAACUCUAGAUGUAAAUGAAUUUUAUCUCGAAACAUAAACGAAACAAAUGCUCUCAUCCGGGGACCAGGCGGCCACGGAGGUCUGCGGCUCGACUGCCUCCUCCUUAACAGUGGGUGCCUCCUCGGAACAUAUGAACCUAACUUUGCUUCAUUGAGAAAAUUAGAAAUACCUAGACAUUACGUGACUAUUUGCGGUACCAAAUUAUCAGUCCAACUAACUUAAAAAUUAAAAUUGGUGCAAUACCCUACAUGUUGACAAGACAGUGAAGUCCAAUGAUUAGCUUCAACAUUACUGAAUCGUUAAGAUUGUAAAUGAUGGCCUUCUUGCUCAUUGUUUCGCUGAUUAGAAAUCUGCAAUAGGACGUAAAUAGUUUAACGGAGAAGAAAUUUGUUGGAAUAUAUUUGUGAGCUACGGCUGAAAGCUUAUCUAGCUAGUUUCGUCGUGCAUGCUAGUCUCCAAAAAUCAAUCAACAUGCCUGCUUCCAAGCACUUGUAUAUGCAUGUUGCUAUGGACGAAAGCACUUUGGAUGUACACCAUUCACAAAUUACUAUCAGAACUAAAUCUGUUUGGAUCUAAAAAUCAACUCUAAAAUUAGUGAAGAGACCUCGUGAGGUUAAUAUUUCACUUAUUCAGAUUAACUCUAAAAAUCAGCUAGAUUGAUUUGCACAGCAAAUUGCAAACAAGUUACCCAGAUCAAUCAAUAGGCGUAGAAGGUUGUGGCCAGAUCGAUUCAUCAGUUUUUUUUAUGUUCUAGUAGGAUGUGGUCAAAUAGAUUCAUCACAAAAUAAACUCCAUUGCAAAAAGGCGCACUCAAACCAACAAAAACAUGAACGGGACUGAGUCUAAUUACUAAGUUGUAGCAAAUGCACGUGUGGAGCGGACAGGCAGCUAGAGACGAUGAGCAGCCGACGAAGACCUAUUCAGUUUUUGCUAUAACAAAAUGCACACAUAACAAAUUGAAACAAUCAUUAGCCAGCAAGAAAAUACGGAGUCUCUUUUACCCCUAAUCUCAAACUAUCAUAAAAAUUGGUACAAACCUGAAACAAAUUUUUGCUUCACUUCUUGUAGGCAUUAUAACAAACACUGGGCAGAAAACAUACGGAAGUGAUUGCUGUGCUGGUGCCCAUGGCGGAGGGUCACAGCAGGCUAGUUGUGCAGAUGAAUGGCGAAAGUCACACUGGAAUCUGCAAUUGCGCAAUUUCAUUCAAAUCAUGACAUGGAAUGAAUAUUGACAUCGACACACCAUCAACGGACAAAGUACCUUCACAAGGGGACGGGAUGGCGUCCUGACAUCCGGUUGAUUGAGUAGGUCGACGGCUGCAGCAUCUAGAUGGGCCGUGGAAAGGGGGGACUCUGCUGGCCAACAUGCGUGGGUGGCGAUGAAGCGGGCAAACAGGGUGGAGCAGUAGGACGAAGGAGGGCCAUGGCUGUGGACAAACGGCUCAGGAUCUGGCCAUCCCAUCUCUAGGUGAGAUCUCUCCAUCCACCACCACCAGAG
rnacentral:lncRNA from 1 species